CUUCCUCGUUUCGAGCAUCAUACCGUCUACAAUCUGAGAAUACAGAGAGACAGCACUAAUCUCGGCCUUUCAUGUCUUCUUCUCUACUUCCUCGUUUCGAGCAUCGUAC
rnacentral:sRNA from 1 species